GACGAAGCAGCUGCGUAGUUUCCACCCACCAAUGCAGUCAACAACAAGGCGUCUGUUUAGAGCUCUCGUCACUGCACGCCUGUUUCUCUUUUGGCGAGCUUUGAUAAUGAAUCCUGUACAUUUAUACAUAAGUGAAAUAACAACAGAAAGCUUUACUCAAAAUUGAGCGUCCUUCAAAAUUGAGGAACGUGGAAUGGAGCCCUUACGCUGCACCUCCCGCAGCCACCACAAAUCAGCGGCCGGCGUGUGUCAAUAAGUGAGUGGGUGUCGCGACAACUGGUGCAGGUGUGCCGGGCCCGGGUGGAGGUCAAGGUCAAUGUUUGGUGCCACCGCAGACUGAGGUGGGAAAGUGUUGCUCAAAGACAGCGAUUGGAUCCCGGCAAGGCUGGCGUUCGAUAUAUGAAUUAAUAAGUGUGUGUGUGUGUGUGUGUGUGUGUGUUAGUACGUAUAAAAGUGCCUGACCAAGGGUAUGGAUCUCCUCCUUUUACUACUCUCCCUAUAAACGACUGAGUAAACUUGUUAGAGAUGUAGUGACUUCAUGACUUCUAUGAAAUAAAGCUUUCCAUCUGUAAUUAUUGGUAACUAGAAGUAACGUACAACAUUGCAUCUCAUUUUGAUCUCUGAAAAUGUAUCGAAAUAAAAAAGAUGAUUUCAA